rnacentral:rRNA from 1 species
CUGGUUGAUCCUGCCAGUAGUCAUAUGCUUGUCUCAAAAAUUAACACAUGCAUGUCUAAGUAUAAAUAGUAUACAGUGAAACUGCGAAUGGCUCAUUAAAACAGUUAUAGUUUAUUUGAUAAUGGAAAGCUACAUGGAUAACCGUGGUAAUUCUAGAGCUAAUACAUGCUGUCAAGCCCAACUUCUCGGAAGGGCUGUAUUUAUUAGAUAUCAAGCCAAUAUYCUUCGGGUCUAUUGUGGUGAAUCAUAGUAACUGAUCGAAUCCUCAUUUGGAUAAAUCAUUCAAGUUUCUGCCCUAUCAGCUUUCGAUGGUAGUGUAUUGGACUACCAUGGCAUUAACGGGUACGGAGAAUUAGGGUUCGGUUCCGGAGAGGGAGCCUGAGAAACGGCUACCACAUCUAAGGAAGGCAGCAGUGGUGAAAAUUACCAAUCCUGAUCAGGSAGSUAGUGMAAGAAAUAGAAA